rnacentral:lncRNA from 1 species
GUCGAGAUGCACAACCACGAUAAACCAUUCAGACGAAUUACGUUUAACUUGAAAUGUGGCCCAACUGAUGUCAUUAAUUUUAUCAACGGAGAAAUAGUUGCAAAAUUGCCGACAAGCAUCAACUACAAAUCCGCACAGAAGAGCCGAGGCUAAACAUACAUCACAUGAUAUACGUUUUCAUCUGGUACUGAGUGGAGGAGAUGCUUCUAAAAGUUACUACAUCAAUUGAACUGUUACAGCCGGUAAAACAGAAUGCCAGAGUCCAAUGACGAAUCGCGCUAAAAAAGGAAAUCAUUCUAAUGUUAACCAACCAAUCAUUUUAAUGUUAAAAUUAUGAAAACGGACACACAAAUUUACUAGAGAAGUAAAACGUGGUAAAACGUCGAGGGAAAAGCUCUGGUAUGUUAGUAGAAAAUAAAACAGGAAAAUGGUAAUGUAUGUUAUGACAAUGGUAAGAGUUACCGAUACUAUAAUUUUAUAUAAUUUAUAUUUGAAACUUUUAUUGCAUAAUUUACU